rnacentral:rRNA from 1 species
UACGUAGGUGGCAAGCGUUGUCCGGAUUUACUGGGCGUAAAGGGCGUGCAGGCGGUCUGUUAAGUGCAGGGUGAAAGCUCCCGGCUCAACUGGGAGAGGUCCUUGCAUACUGGCGGACUUGAGGGGGGUAGAGGAAAGUGGAAUUCCCGGUGUAGUGGUGAUAUGCGUAGAUAUCGGGAGGAACACCUGUGGCGAAGGCGGCUUUCUGGGACGGUACUGACGCUGAGACGCGAAAGCGUGGGGAGCGAACAGG